rnacentral:rRNA from 1 species
AUUGAACGCUGGCGGCAGGCCUAACACAUGCAAGUCGAACGAGUGGCGGACGGGUGAGUAAUGUCUGGGAAACUGCCUGAUGGAGGGGGAUAACUACUGGAAACGGUAGCUAAUACCGCAUACCAUCAGAUGUACCCAGAGGGGAGUGGCUUGUUGGUGGGGUAACGGCUCACAAAGGCGAAGAUCCCUAGCUGGUCUGAGAGGAUGACCAGCAACACUGGAACUGAGAAACGGUCCAGACUCCUACGGGAGGAAGCAGGGGGGAAUAUUGCACAAUGGGUGCAAGCCUGAUGCAGCCAUGCCGCGUGUAGGAAGAAGGCCUUCGGGUUGUAAGGUACUUUCAGCGGGGAGGCGUUACCCGCAGAAGAAGCACCGGCUAACUCCGUGCCAGCAGCCGCGGUAAUUC